rnacentral:rRNA from 1 species
CCUACGGGUGGCUGCAGUGGGGAAUAUUGCACAAUGGGGGAAACCCUGAUGCAGCGACGCCGCGUGAAGGAAGAAGUAUUUCGGUAUGUAAACUUCUAUCAGCAGGGAAGAAAAUGACGGUACCUGACUAAGAAGCCCCGGCUAACUACGUGCCAGCAGCCGCGGUAAUACGUAGGGGGCAAGCGUUAUCCGGAUUUACUGGGUGUAAAGGGAGCGUAGGCGGCGAUGCAAGUCAGAAGGGAAAGCACGGGGCUCAACUCCGGGACUGCUUUUGAAACUGUGUUGCUAGAUUGCAGGAGAGGUAAGUGGAAUUCCUAGUGUAGCGGUAAAAUGCGGAGAUAUUAGGAGGAACACCAGUGGCGAAGGCGGCUUACUGGACUGUAAAUGACGCUGAGGCUCGAAAGCGUGGGGAGCAAACAGGAUUAGAUACCCGAGUAGUC